rnacentral:rRNA from 1 species
CAUCGCCGCGGUAAUACGGAGGGUGCAAGCGUUAAUCGGAAUUACUGGGCGUAAAGCGCACGCAGGCGGUCUGACAAGUCAGAUGUGAAAUCCCCGGGCUUAACCUGGGAACUGCAUUUGAAACUGUCAGGCUGGAGUCUUGUAGAGGGGGGUAGAAUUCCAGGUGUAGCGGUGAAAUGCGUAGAGAUCUGGAGGAAUACCGGUGGCGAAGGCGGCCCCCUGGACAAAGACUGACGCUCAGGUGCGAAAGCGUGGGGAGCAAACAGGAUUAGAUACCCCAGUAGUCCCUGUCUCUUAUACA